GGAAUAUGACGCUCAAGAAGAAGCUGCUAACUUCUCUCUUUAACGGUUAAACUCCGUUUAUUUUCCU
rnacentral:tRNA from 1 species